CCUGCUCAUUUCAGUGGUAUUUGUGCUGCUGCUGGGGUGUUCUUUGCUUCUCUGGACAGUGCUAGCGUCAACCGUCGCUGCUCAGCUGUGCUUCUUCUCCACAUUUGAGCACCGUGUGGAUGUCAUCUGUUCGGCGGGAGCCUGGCUACCCUUCUCGGUGAUGACUGUGAUGUAGCUAUGCAUGUUCCCUGGCGGAUUUUGACUCUAAUCUCCACCUGGUGACAGGACCCUGGACCUAAAUAUUCUAGUCUGUGCACACUCUGUAACACAGUUAGCCAUGCUGGAAGCAGCUCAAUAGUGAGUGGCACUGAGUGGAAAACCAUAGUUUUUCUAGGCUCCUAUCAAAAGACUGACAUGUUCGUGUUACAAUGAGAAACUGAGAGGGUAAGUAGUAAUACUAAGUAAGACUGAAGGGGCCAAAGUGCUUGUAUUGGUAACCGAAGAGAAGAGCCAUCCUGUCAGUAGGUUGGCAGCACCUGAGACAGCCAGGCCUUGAGGAUGACUAGCUUAUUUAGGCGUAGCAGCAGCAAUGGAGGCUCCAGAAGCAGUGGAGGUGGCAGUAGCAGUGGACAGGGGCAGCUCAACAACAGCAGACCCAACCGGCAGGUCAGACGCCUUGAGUUCAACCAGGCUAUGGAAGACUUUAAGACCAUGUUCCCCUCUAUGGACUACGAGGUGAUUGAGUGUGUGCUGCGUUCCAACAACGGAGCAGUGGACGCCACCAUCGAUCAGCUGCUCCAGAUGAGCAUUGAUGGACAGGGCUCAGAAGACAGCUCGGACUCAGAUGACAGCAUCCCACCAGAGAUUCUGGAGCGUACCAUGGAACCUGACAGUUCAGAUGAAGAACCCCCUCCAAUUUACUCUCCGCCAACAUAUGACAUGCACAUUUAUGACAGGAAAUAUCCAGAAGACCCACCAAACCCCCCUCCACGAUUUGAAGGCCAAGCUCCUCCCAGUCAGCAGCAAGUCAGAAGCUAUCGGAACUGGAACCCACCUUUGCUUGGAAAUCUCCCAGACGAUUUUCUGCGUAUUUUGCCACAACAGUUAGACAGCAUUAAGCAGAGCUCUCAGAACAGUCUCUCUCAGCCGUCAUCAUCCUCAUCCUCCUCAAUUUCUUCAGCAAGGCAAUGGACAGCUCAGUCUGGUUCUGGGUCGGUAGCUGCAGGGACCACUGGAGGUUCAGGUUUGUCAACAGGAGCUACAGAGCAAGACAAGAAACUGAAGCAGUAUCUGGAGGAUGAGCGCAUCGCCUUGUUCCUGCAGAACGAGGAGUUUAUGAGAGAGCUGCAGCGCAACCGCGAGUUUCUCAUUGCCUUAGAGAGAGAUCGCUUGAAGUAUGAAUCAAAGAAAUCAAAGUCCAAUCAUUCAUCUAGCAUGGAGAGUUCCACAGGAGAGCAGUACUUUGCCACUUCAAUGGAGGCCAUCUCAGAUGACGCGCUGUUCAGAGACAAACUCAAACACAUGGGAAAAUCAACACGAAAGAAGCUGUUUGAAAUUGCCAGAGCAUUUUCUGAAAAAACAAAGAGGAGAAAGACAAAAAGGAGGACGCUCCUGAAACAUCACUCAUUGGGCACAGCCAACUCUACAGCCAAUCUCCUAGACGAUGUAGAGGGAAACACCUGUGAGGAAGAUGGUCAACCUAGAAGAGCACACACUCAGGAAGAGACUGAAGAACGCAAUGAGCCAGUAUCGUGGUAAGAUACUGCUCAGUCAUUUGAAAGGGAAGGAACCACUUGUUCAUGGAAUUAGAGAUCCUCCCUUGCUGCACCAUAUCAGGGUUACCAUGGUGACAACAGCCUGACCCAUGGGUGGUUGCUUUGCAGCUCUUCCUGUCCCCACCUGCUCACCCCACCCUAAUCCAACCAGUUGAUAUAAGGCUCGGCAAUGAGUUGAGACUUGCACCCCCCACCCUCCUUCUGGGGGAGAGGAACUGGACUGUUCUCAGCAUUGGACUAAUUGUCUGUAAAUGCAUUAGCUCUGUAUUAUAACACUUUGUGGAUAUAUAGUUUUAAAUGUAGAGGAAAAUGCAUUAGUCCUAACAGUAUUUGGUAACUGCUUCCCUUCAUCAACUGAGAGGAACACUAGCGUAGUGAUUAUUUUUCCAUAUUUACCUGUGUUUCUUUUCCAGACCUCACAGUAGCAGACAACAUGUUUCUGGAUGGGGUCCCUCAGGCAGGGCAUUUCAAAUCCAAAUUGUGCACAUGCCCCUUUAUAUACACUAAACCAUGUAGAGCUUUUUUACCAUGUUUUCUUAAUCAAAUUGGAAUAUUUUGCUGAUUUUGAAUGUUCGGUUUUAUGUAACUGAAUUUCUUAAACAUGUGAAUAAUGAGGCCAUUAAAGCUGUUGCUGCCCAAAUGUCAACGCUUCACCGUGACCCUUUUGACAUUUAAUAGACUCUGUUCUUAGAAAGCAUGAAUGCUACAUUGUUUAGAGCAGUUUAGAGCAGUUUGCUUUGUUUGGCAAGAUGAAAAAAAAUCUUAUUUAUAUUGUUAAUUAUUGUAGCAGCACUACAAGUACAGUUGCACAGUUGUUGUAAGCUGUGUGUCAUAAUAUUGAACCAGAGUUUCAGACUGAGCAAGCAUGGGUAUCAUGCCCAGGAAAACAUGACCUUUGUGACUGAGUUUUGAAAAGCAAACAGAAUGAGUGUGGACAACUUUAAAGCCCCGGUACACAAGGAAUUAGUAUUUGAGUGCUGUCCGACCAAGUCUAAAGGCAAAUGUGUGUACAGAUGUUUUCUAGAAGGUGUGGAAGUAAAAAGGAUUUCAUUAGAGGUUACCUGUGCAUGUGUUGGACUUGUUCAUGCGAAAGGACAGAAGUAGUUGUGUGAGAAAACUAAACUUGAGAGGGAUUAAAACACCUCCACACUAGAGCUCUUUAUGGGUCUGCUCAGUGCUGAGGAAGAGCAAAAUCCCAACCUGGUGCCUCAGUUGGACUCCAAAUCAUCCUCAGUUUUAUUAGAUUAAGUAGGGUCUAAUUUUACUGCCAUGUGUUGUAUUGUACUGUCAGUAUGUCCAAUUCCUGAGUUCAUCUGAAUGUACCAGAGCAAGCUCAGUAUCAUUGUCAUCAUUCAUUCAUGUCUGAUAUUUUUUACAAAAGGUAGAAACAGAGCUGAAUUUCUGUUAGUUUAGAAUGGCUCAUUAUUGUUAUUAUUAUAUUGCUGAUGUUUCUGUUCUCUCUCUGGGUUUGGGUUCGGCUGUGUUCAGGUCCCUCUCAGAUGAAGGCUCUCCUUUUUUGUAAAUGAAAACAUGUAUGUCUUGUCUGGGUAGGUUUUCCCUGGGUGUGUAUUGGUGAAAACCUCUCUUCCACAUAGCUGACUGGAUCACUGUGUCAAGUGAGUGACCACAAGAUUCUUAGUUCAGAAACGUUCAAAAAUUGUCACAUGCUGCCUGCCCAGUGCUAUCAUCAGACACGUGGAGUCACAUGCAGUGUCAGAAGUAGGGAUGGGCAUCGUAAAGAUUUUAACAGUACUACUACUUUAACUGAUACUGCUUAUAGAUCCAGUACUUUAAUGGUAUUUUUUUCUGUACUUUUCGAUUGUUUCUGUUGGUUUGUUCUGUUUCUUAAAGAGAAAAAAACUAAACAAAUUAAGAACAGAAUAAAGAGUGCUUAAUUUUCUCAUACGUACUGUAUUUAAAUUAAAAGAUGGUCAGAGUACUGUAGACAGUGUCACAGGUUUUACUCACAAAAUAAAAUAAUCUGCAGUCUGUUUCAUUAUACUGUCCAGCAUUAAAUGACAAUUUAAAGCUCCACCUUGAACAGAUAUUAAGUAAAUGUCAGUACAUUGUGCUGGUAAAACCUGUUCCACUCUUCACUUUUGAGCAUAAAAAGAAUGCAGGACUUUAUACUGUAUACACUAUUUUUACUGUGUGAUUUUAAUAGUGAAGAAAACAGUUGAAGUACUUCUACCACCAACACCAAUAUUCAGUCAGAGAAACUGAAAAUAAAGUCAGAGUUUGUCUGUAGCCCUCAAAUCAUCCUGCUGCUCAGUUCUGAACAACAGAUCAGAUGAUGCUCUGACUUUCAGACUGAAUUUAUGAACACAGACAGUUUAACAAACAGUUGGCAAAUGCUACCUUUUAAUCACAGUUUAGUUAGUGUGGACUAACAUACCUGGUUAGUAAGGGAUGAACUAUGAGCUCAGCAAUCAAACGGAGCGUUUCUCCGUCUGUAUGUGAUGAACUUUGACUGGAAGUUUCCACAGUUUCUGCUCUGACAUGCAAACAACGUGUUACUUUUGUGGCAACAAACAUUUUGUGCAUCAGCUGUCGUGAACUUUAAUCAGACUACUGAACGUUGGUCACCUGUUUGUGCUGCACAGAGCUGCAGGUGAGUGAUGGAGAGGCUCCGCCCCUCAGACACCAGGAGUUCUGUCUGUCUGAACUACAGGCUGCAACAGACAGAACUCUGUUUUAGAUCUAGAAAGCUGAAGUGCAUCAUGGACACUUACAUGUCAGAUACAUGUCUUAUGGUGAGCAGACAGAAUGUGUAACACAACAAUCUUCUUACUUUCUAAAGUACCGUUAGAACCAUUACUAUUGGAGCUUAUCGAUCCUCUGUUAUUUAAAAUAUCGCACCAGGGUUCGUUUAAUAUGGGUAUAACAGGCCAGACUAACCCCCAGCCAAAGUACCUGUUGACACAGAGGUGAAGCGUGUUAAACUCUGAAUUGUUAAGUCAUUUAUUUAUUUAUUUAUUUUUUUAACAGAGGUAUGCUCAGCAAGCAAAUCAUUCUGAAAGAACAUGACUAGAAUGUCCUUGAGCUAAUUACAAUUAAGAUAGUUCAAAUCAAAAGGAAAAACUGUAACUGAUAAAAUUAUGCUGUAAGCGAAACAUUUUCAAAGAAGAUCAACAUUGGCUGUUAAUUUCAGUUGUUGUAGAACUGAUUUCAGUAUAAUAUCUGUGUUACCUUUGUGUUUAGCUUAAAUUAAGAUUGGCUUGAUUUGUGCUCCAUAAAUAAACCAUUACAUCAGCACAAUGUCUCAUGGUAUAUUUUGCCUAAAAUCCAUCCAUCCAUCCAUCAUCUAUACACCGCUUAAUCCUCAUUAGGGUAGCUGGGGAGCUGGAGUCUAUCCCAGCUGAUUUAGGAUGAAGGCAGGGGAUACCUGGACAGGUAACAGUCUAUCCCAGGGCUAAACAAUCACACUCACACCUACAACCAAUUUAGAGUCACCAAUUAACCUCAGCAUGUUUUUUGGACUGUGGGAGGAAUCUGGAGUAACUGGAGAAAACCCACGCAUGCACAGGGAGAACAUGCAAACUCCAUGCAGAAAGAUCCCUGGCCGGGACGUGAACCAGGGAUCUUCUAGCUGCGGGGCAACAGUGCUAACCACCGAGUCACUAUGCAGCCCUAUUUUGCUUUAAAGGUUUGAUUUAAUUUCAUCAGUUUGUGCUUAAAUUAAGAUAAAGUUGAUUUGAUGAUGUAAUCUCAUAUUACAUGGGAUGUACUGUAGCCUGGAAGGAUAUAUUCUGGGGUAGGCUAAUUCAGCCCCCAGGGUAUAAAUUGGGCUGAGCUAAACUAUCCUUUGGCCGGGGGUUUAAUCUGGCCUGUUGCACACAGAUCAAGACGAUCUUAGUUUAAGUACAAAUCAAAGACAAUAAAGAGAUAUUAUACUGAAAUCUGUUGUACAGAAACAAUUGAAAGCAACACCAGCCAACGUGGAUGUUCUUUCAUAAUGUUUUGUUUAAAGUUUUCUUUGUUUUAAAUUCAGUUUUUCCUUUUGAUUUGAACUAUUUUAAUUAUAAUUAGCUCAAGUAUAUUCUAGUUAUGUUCUUUCAUAAUGAUUUGCUUGCUGACUAUACCUCUUUGUAAACACAAAAAAACUAAAUUAGGUAAAAAUUAAGAGUUUAACACACUUCAUCUUUGUGUCAACAGGUGUAAACAGUCUGAAGUAUACCCUGGGGUAUACUCUGGCCUCUUACACCAGGACUCGGUACCCAUAGCAUAGUUGGACAUUUAGAGCAAUAGCAUAUGGUUGUCCUACCUGCAGACCUGUUCCUCUUUCAGGUGCUUGCCACCACAGCAUUAAUCUAACUUUGAUGAAAAUAAAAUGAGUAUGAUGCCCAGUGUGGCUGAAUUACCUGCCUGCUAUUUUCAUAUUGUGGUGGCUACAUUCUGUAAAGACCGCAAACCUGUGGAUGCCUGGAAGGGAAGAACAGCUUCAUAUGUGUCUGCAUGGUGGGAAGCCAGUGAGAGUUGUCAGUUGUGUUGCUGCAGUAGUGACUCCUGCUGGUUGUUUGGUCUCACCAUAGAGACAACCCCACCACAUGGUGAUGCCUGUUGCUGGUACAUUGCGGAAUAAAAAAUUAGACUUGAGACAAUGUCUCACACAGCAUCCCUUCAUAGGACAGCACUACAGUGCUUGCUAAAAGAAAGUGUAGCAUCAAAUUGGAUACCAUUUUCAAUGAAUGCUGACAAACAUAGACCCUUGUGUUUUUAAGUGUGUCAUGUUGGUUGUGAAUUUUUGAACUUCACUGUAUUUUUUUCUGUUCUAACUUCUGUUCUUACCUAUUGAACCAAACUAGGAGUCUCAGAUUUGCUGCUUUAGACAUGUCCACAGAUGUCAACUGCUUCAUUUAACAUGUUGCUUAUAUUUUGUCAGGUUUCCAGAAUUCUUGCAAUGAACCAAAACUACAUUUUUGAGAUGUUAUGAAAAUGAUAUCACUCCGAGAUGACUUUGCCAUAUCUUUGAGUAAAUCAAAGCUUUGUUAUCCUGUCUUUUCUAAAUUCUACAUUUUUAAAUGCCAGUGUGUAAUGACUGAACAGUGGCAUCAUGUAUAGUGAAAUAAUUAAUGGUUGUGAUUUCCACGUGAAUGAUGGGAGGAUAUUGUAUGUGAAUUUUGACUGAUAAAGCAACAACAGAAAAAGUGCUUGCAAGGUUUGGAUCUGCCUUUUUUUACAGAUCGUUUUUAAUUCUAUGUGUACAUGUAAAACUAGCAUAAAUGUAAAAGUAGUCAUAGUCUAAUUUAGCCUUUGUAAGCAGGAAAUGUGUGCUGUGUGUAUGAGAAACUUUACAAUGCCAUGCUUCCAAGAAAACUGCCUGAUUUGAAACUAGACACAUUAAAUGAAUUACAAGAAGUAAAAUCAAUUAAUUUUCUCACUUUGUGCAUCAAGGGGUUUAGAAAAUCUCCCCAAAUUAACCAUUCUGGAUUUGUAUUUUGAGUGUUGUUUAUCCCAUCAAUUAAAAUAUUUAAAUGUG